rnacentral:rRNA from 1 species
GAAUCUUGCGCAAUGGGCGAAAGCCUGACGCAGCCAUGCCGCGUGAAUGAUGAAGGUCUUAGGAUUGUAAAAAUCUUUCACCGGGGAGGAUAAUGACGGUCCCAGGAGAAGAAGCCACGGCUCACUUCGUGACCGCCGCCGCGGUAAUACGAAGGGGGCUCGCGUUGCUCGGAAUUACUGGGCGUAAAGGGCGCGUAGGCGGAUCGUUAAGUCAGAGGUGAAAUCCCGGAGCUCAACUUCGGAAUUGCCUUUGAUACUGGCGAUCUUGAGUGUGAGAGAGGUAUGUGGAACUCCGAGUGUAGAGGUGAAAUUCGUAGAUAUUCGGAAGAACACCAGUGGCGAAGGCAACAUACUGGCUCAUUACUGACGCUGAGGCGCGAAAGCGUGGGGAGCAAACA